UAACGCGUAUGCAACUUACCUAUCAGAGGGGGAUAGCCCGGCGAAAGGCGGAUUAAUACCCCAUAAAACAGGGGUCCCGCAUGGGAAUAUUUGUUAAAGAUUCAUCGCUGAUAGAUAGGCAUGCGUUCCAUUAGGCAGUUGGCGGGGUAACGGCCCACCAAACCGACGAUGGAUAGGGGUUCUGAGAGGAAGGUCCCCCACAUUGGUACUGAGACACGGACCAAACUCCUACGGGAGGCAGCAGUGAGGAAUAUUGGUCAAUGGCCGAGAGGCUGAACCAGCCAAGUCGCGUGAAGGAAGAAGGAUCUAUGGUUUGUAAACUUCUUUUAUAGGGGAAUAAAGUGGAGGACGUGUCCUUUUUUGUAUGUACCCUAUGAAUAAGCAUCGGCUAACUCCGUGCCAGCAGCCGCGGUAAUACGGAGGAUGCGAGCGUUAUCCGGAUUUAUUGGGUUUAAAGGGUGCGUAGGUGGUGAUUUAAGUCAGCGGUGAAAGUUUGUGGCUCAACCAUAAAAUUGCCGUUGAAACUGGGUUACUUGAGUGUGUUUGAGGUAGGCGGAAUGCGUGGUGUAGCGGUGAAAUGCAUAGAUAUCACGCAGAACUCCGAUUGCGAAGGCAGCUUACUAAACCAUAACUGACACUGA
rnacentral:rRNA from 1 species